CUACGGAGGAUCCGAGCGUUAUCCGGAUUUAUUGGGUUUAAAGGGUGCGCAGGCGGCCAUUUAAGUCAGCGGUUAAAUCGUGGGGCUCAACCCCAUUCUGCCGUUGAUACUGGGUGGCUUGAUUGCGGUCGAGGUUGGCGGAAUUCGUUGUGUAGCGGUGUAAUGCAUAGAUAUGACGAAGAACACCGAUUGCGUAGGCAGCUGACCAGAACGCAAAUGACGCUCAUGCACGAAAGUGCGGGGAUCGAACAGGAUUAGAUACCCUGGUAGUCCGCACAGUAAACGAUGAAUACUUGUUUUCGGCGAUAUAAUGUCGGAGGCAAAGCGAAAGCGAUAAGUAUUCCACCUGGGGAGUACGCCGGCAACGGUGAAACUCAAAUGAAUUGACGGGG
rnacentral:rRNA from 1 species